CUCGAUUUAGUUAUGAUAAAUAUGGUUGGUAAAUUUCGUGCCAGCCACCGCGGUUAUACGAAAAACCAAAAAUAAUAGCCCACGGCGUAAAAAGUGACCUGAGCCUACGCCAAAAAUUUAAAGAAAGACCACAUCAAAGUUGUAAAACACUUGUACGUGAGACCACCAACAACAAAAUGACUUUAAAACAAAGGCCCCUUACCCUCACGAAAGCUAAGGAACAAACUAGGAUUAGAUACCCUACUAUGCUUAGCCCUAAACAUAGACAAUAAAAACACAAUAUUGUCCGCCAGAGAACUACAAGUGAAAAACUAGAAACUCCAAGGACUUGGCGGUGCCCCACACCAACCUAGAGGAGCCUGUCCUAUAAUCGAUAAUCCACGUUAUACCUCACCAUUUUUAGUCAACCCAGCCUAUAUACCGCCGUCGAAAGCUUACCUUAUGAAAGAAAGAAAGUAAGCAAAAUAGUCAAUAACUAAAACGUCAGGUCAAGGUGUAGCAUAUGAAAUGGAAGAGAUGGGCUACAUUUUCUAUAUCAGAAAAAACGGACAGCAUAAUGAAACAAGUGCUCAAAGGUGGAUUUAGCAGUAAGACAAAAAAGAAAGUUUGUCUAAAACCCGCUCUGGGGCGCGCACACACCGCCCGUCACCCUC
rnacentral:rRNA from 1 species